AUUCUCGAACACUGUACAUUUUCUCCGACCCAUUUUCUCCUAAAACCCUCAACGACUUCAUUCGCCGCGACGCCCACCGCUGCCAUUUUCUUCGACCCAUUUUCUCGUCUCUCCUCCAACACCGUCAACGACUCACCUUCGCCGCCGCUGCCAUUUUCUCCGACCCAUUUUCUCGUCUCUCCUCCGACCCAUUUUCUCGUCUCUCCUCCAACACCGUCAACGACUCACCUUCGCCGCGACGCCGUCAACCUUAGCUGCCACUUCGCCGCAACGCCGUCAACGACUCACGUUCUCGGUAUAAAUAGUAUUUGCAGAUUUGAAAACCCUUUCACUUUCGCAGAAAUCUACAGCAGCGGCGGCGUUUGGUCUCACCGGCGAGAAUCAAGCAAAAAGCAAUCAGCCAUGGGACACAGCAACGUUUGGAACUCUCACCCCAAGACCUACGGUCCUGGUUCACGCACUUGCCGUGUGUGUGGGAAUUCACAUGGAUUGAUUAGGAAGUAUGGACUCAUGUGCUGUAGGCAGUGCUUCCAUAGCAAUGCCAAGGAAAUUGGUUUCAUCAAG